AAGUUACAACUUUUUCCCUUCUUUCUUUCCUUUUUUUUCAAAGUCAAAACUAUCUCUACGAGGGUAGGCAUUCAUAACUUCUUGCAAACCUGAAGGUCCAUUGUUUUUGAUUAAAGUCUGGUUUCAAAACAGAAGAAUGAAGUCAAAAAGGAUGAAUGUCGACCAGACUGAUGGUGACAAUGAAAGAACUUACAAUGACCUCGAUUCUACCAAUAAAAUUCAUUAUAACAAGAUA